rnacentral:rRNA from 1 species
AGAGUUUGAUCAUGGCUCAGGAUGAACGCUGGCGGCAGGCUUAAUACAUGCAAGUUGAACGGUAACAUGUUGUAGCAAUACGAUGAUGACGAGUGGCGCACGGGUGCGUAACACGUGUGUAACCUACCUUAUACAGGAACAUAACGUUGAGAAAUCGGCGCUAACAUUCCAUAAUAUUAUUUGUAGGCAUCUAUGAAUAAUUAAAACUCCGGUGGUAUAAGAUGGGCACGCGUUCCAUUAGCUAGUUGGUAAGGUAACGGCUUACCAAGGCAACGAUGGAUAGGGGUUCUGAGAGGAUAAUCCCCCACACUGGAACUGAGACACGGUCCAGACUCCUACGGGAGGCAGCAGUAAGGAAUAUUGGGCAAUGGAGGCAACUCUGACCCAGCCAUGCCGCCGUGCAGGAAGACGGCCCUAUGGGUUGUAAACUGCUUUUAAUAGGGAUUAAAGUCGACUACGUGUAGUUGUUUGCAAGUACCUAUAGAAUAAGCAUCGGCUAACUCCGUGCCAGCCGCUGC